rnacentral:rRNA from 1 species
GUUAGGAAUAUUGGACAAUGGGCGCAAGCCUGAUCCAGCCAUGCCGCGUGAACGAUGAAGGCCUUCGGGUUGUAAAGUUCUUUAGCCGAUGAUUAUAAUGACUGUAGUCGGAAAAUAAGCCCCGGCUAACUUCGUGCCAGCAGCCGCGGUAAUACGAAGGGGGCGAGCGUUUUUCGGAAUCACUGGGCGUAAAGCGUGCGUAGGCGGUCUCGUAAGUUAGGAGUGAAAGCCCAGGGCUCAACCUUGGAAUUGCUCUUAAUACUGCAAGGCUAGAAUCUCGGAGAGGAUAGCGGAAUUUCCAGUGUAGCAGUGAAAUGCGUAGAUAUUGGAAGGAACACCAGUGGCGUAAGCGGCUAUCUGGACGAGUAUUGACGCUGAGGCACGAAAGCGUGGGGAUCAAACAGGAUUAGAAACCCGUGUAGUCC